CCUACGGGCGGCAGCAGUGGGGAAUAUUGGACAAUGGGCGAAAGCCUGAUCCAGCCAUGCCGCGUGUGUGAAGAAGGCCUUCGGGUUGUAAAGCACUUUCAGUGGGGAAGAAAGCCUUGGGGCUAAUACCCUCGAGGAAGGACAUCACCCACAGAAGAAGCACCGGCUAACUCCGUGCCAGCAGCCGCGGUAAUACGGAGGGUGCGAGCGUUAAUCGGAAUUACUGGGCGUAAAGCGCGCGUAGGCGGUCUGAUAAGCCGGUUGUGAAAGCCCCGGGCUCAACCUGGGAACGGCAUCCGGAACUGUCAGGCUAGAGUGCAGGAGAGGAAGGUAGAAUUCCCGGUGUAGCGGUGAAAUGCGUAGAGAUCGGGAGGAAUACCAGUGGCGAAGGCGGCCUUCUGGACUGACACUGACGCUGAGGUGCGAAAGUGUGGGUAGCAAACAGGAUUAGAUACCCGAGUAGUC
rnacentral:rRNA from 1 species